GUGUGUGUAUGUGUGAGUGUGUGUGACUGUGUGUGUCCGUGUGUAUGUAUGUAUGUGUGUGUGUUUGGGGGUGGGGAGAUUUUCAAAAGUUCAGUGUGAAUCAGGUGACAUUUUCCACCUUCCCAAUUAUCUGUUUUAGACUGCUGAAAUAUCUAGCUCCGGGUCAGCUCUAAACGUGUAUUUAUUGCGUAUGCUCUGCCGAUCUUGAAAUUCAUGUAAUGUCAGCAAAGAGAGAGAAAGUUAAAAAUCCAAGAAAAGCAGUAGAAUGCAACAUCCUGAAGAUGCAAGGAUUCUGAGAAGGAAGUGUAUUUUUUCUUCCCCCCAAGGAAUUUGGGAGUGGAGAACACAGGAUGAAAGCUUCUAAAGAACUCAGGGGUUCCUCUUUCCGCUUAUUUAGUAAAUUUGCUGUGAUGAAAAGUACAUGGAAUGAGUCACAGGUCAAUACUUGUUCCAUAUGUGCGUCCUCUGUGCAUCAGCAGAAGAUCAAUCCGAUUGCAGUGGGGUGGAAUUGUAUCACACCUGUUCGGUGACAUCACAGAGAACAGCUGUUGUUUCUUGUAUUAUUUUAUCUCCUUUAACUGUUAAAUAUUGGGUUUACAUCUGCCAAAAUGUCAGGGUCACAUUUUAAAAUAAAAAUGCUUUCUUUCAUUUAUUUGUGUGCUUCCAUUUUCAACUUUGUUCCCCCUUCAAGUUUGCCAAAAAGUAAAUGUAAAUUAACAGAAGACACAAUAGGACUACUUUGUAGCUGAGUCUGAUC